rnacentral:rRNA from 1 species
CAGUUAAAAAGCUCGUAGUUGGAUUUCUGCGGGGGCGGGGCGGCCGGAUGCUUAUAUGCAUCUCGAGCUAGCACUUCCCCCGCAUCCUGCCGCGAACCGUGCUACCAUUAGUUUGGUGGCGCUGGGGAUCGGCUCGUUUACUUUGAGAAAAAUAGAGUGUUCAAAGCAGGCCACACGCCUUGAAUAAGUUAGCAUGGAAUAAUGAUAAAGGACUUCGGUUCUAUUUUGUUGGUGUUCGGGACUGAAGUAAUGAUUGAUAGGGACAGUUGGGGCGGUCAGUAUUCCAAAGCGAGAGGUGAAAUUCUUAGACCUUCGGAAGACUAACAGCUGCGAAAGCGUUCCGCAAGGAUGUUCCCUUUGAUCAGGAACGAAAGUUGGGGGAUCGAAGACGAUCAGAUACCGUCGUAGUCUCAACUAUAACUAUACCAGCUAGGGAUCGGCCGACGUUUACUUAUAUCGACUCGGUCGGCACCUUAUGAGAAAUCAAAAGCAUCUGGGUUCCGGGGGGAGUAUGGU